CUUCGGCUUGGGUCCUCCACCAGCAAAGGCCCCAGUGAACGUCUACAAUGGAGAACUUAAUUCUAGUAGGAAGACUGGUGUCCCUGCAUCUACAGGGGCUGCCUGGAUAGCAGUAAUAUGGAAUAUACAAGCAUUGGACAAAGCUGAAACUCGGUAUGGAUUAGCGGCAACUUAAAUAUGCCUUUUUGAAGGAGGGUGGAUAUGUCUAGGUGCAGCAGAUACUGACUCGUGGCUGAGAAGACCACCUUAGAUUGAAAUGGGGAUUUUUUUCCUGUCACUGGCCUUCUUGGCCAAGUAUCUUCAAUGGCAUGUAAGUUCCCUGUUCUCCCAACCUAAUACUUUCAUAAUGAAGACAUAAAAUCCAGUUUGUCAAACUUA